rnacentral:rRNA from 1 species
UACAGAGGAGCCAAGCGUUGUCCGGAUUGACUGGGCGUAAAGCGCACGCAGGCGGAUACGCGCGUGGGGUGUGAAAUCUGGCCGCUUAACGGCCAGGCGCCAUCCCAUACGGCGUGUCUGGAGCUGUGCAGAGGUCGGUGGAAUUGCCGGUGUAGUGGUGAAAUGCGCAGAUAUCAGGAGGAACACCGGUGGCGAAGGCGGUUCUCUGGGCCUUACCUGACACUGAGGAGCGAAAGCGUGGGGAGCGAACAGG